rnacentral:rRNA from 1 species
CAGCCGCCGCGGUAAUACGUAGGGUGCGAGCGUUAAUCGGAUUUACCGGGCGUAAAGCGUGCGCAGGCGGCCCGUUAAGACAGGUGUGAAAUCCCUGGGCUCAACCUAGGAAUUGCGCUUGUGACUGGCGGGCUCGAGUACGGUAGAGGGGGGUGGAAUUCCUGGUGUAGCAGUGAAAUGCGUAGAGAUCAGGAGGAACAUCGAUGGCGAAGGCAGCCCCCUGGGCCUGUACUGACGCUCAUGCACGAAAGCGUGGGGAGCAAACAGGAUUAGAUACCCUGGUAGUCCACGCCCUAAACGAUGGGUACUAGCCGUUUGGUGCGCGAUAGCGCUGAGUGGCGAAGCUAACGCGUGAAGUACCCCGCCUGGGGAGUACGGCCGCAAGGUUGAAACUUAAAGGAAUUGGCGGG